GAUGACAAUCACAACAACAACACGUGCAGAUCCUGCAGAUUAUUUUGGUCUUAAAAAUGUCGCUUUAACAGCACAUAUUUCAGCUCAACUGCAAACAAAACCGACACACAGUCCGAUAAAAUGCUGGAGUCACGCGACUCACCUAAUAAGUGCUGUGCUGUGGAUUGUAAAGCUGGACAGACAGUGACUGUAAUGAUGGACAUCUGCUUGUGGACAGGUGAUGUAUCUACUGUGUGAAUGUGUGUUCUAGUGCACUAAACAUGUAGGUUACCAUCAUUUUCUUUCUGAAGGGCCUCUCCUGUGAAAAGCAAAUGAUGGUAACCUAAGUAGGUGAGGAAGGGACGGCAGAUGAUAAUUUUUAUGCAGCUUUCUUUUUAUUUUCCAGUCUGUCCAAAAGCAUAACCACUGCUGGUCACAGUGCGGGAAGCUCCAGGGGGAGACCAUACUGGUAUCCCCCUUCUUUGGGCGCACCUUCACACACACUCCACCAUUCACUCAUAUCGCAGAGACCUGGCUGGGAUCGAACCAGCAACCUCUAAACCCGUGAGGCAGCGGUCUUACCUGUGAGCCACAGGUCUCUUGUUAGAGCAAGUGAAGGAACUUAUUUUUGACUGUUGACUUGUGAGUUCCCAA
rnacentral:lncRNA from 1 species